rnacentral:lncRNA from 1 species
CUUUCUGAUUAUGGAUCUUAAGAAAUUUCCCUGAGAGGGCUCCGCCCUGUACCCUAUACUUGGGGAAGGAAUGCUGAUGUCACAAAGCUUCCAUAAAAAUCCAAAAGGACUGGGUUCAGAGGGCUUUUGGAGAGCUGGACAUGUGGAGGCCGACAGGAAGGUGAAGAAGUCAUCUGCGUGCUGUGAGGGUGGCGCACCCCAACUCCAUGGGGACAGAAGGUCCUGCAUUUAGGACCCUUCCAGACCUCACACCUAUGUAUCUCUUCAUCUGGCUGAUUACUUAUAUCCUUUCAAAGACGCUUCUUAGUAAACUGGUUACACUGAAAAGGACGAGGGAUCUCUGAGAAUCCUUUCUCCCAGGCAUUACUUCUAAGUGGUGGACAUGCUGUCCUAGUGCCUCCCUCACAUGGCCAGCGGAGAAGGGCCUUGCCCUACCUCUCAGACUGCAGCCCUGAGCCACUCCUUGGAGGUGAGGAGCACCAUUCACCUGAGCAGCUCCCCGCCCUGGUGUCUGAGAAAUAAAUCUGCCUUCAGUCAUACGGUUCUACCAAUCUGAGCACACGACCACCUGAUAGGGUACUGAGGAUGGCUUCUGACCUGGAGGCAUCAAGGACCUGAAGGCAGUAACCAUUUCAGAGGACAGCCACAUCCCUCAAAUUACAAACAUCUAAAAUGUCCAUUAACUGUUGAGUGGAUAUAUAAAUUCUGAUGUUUUAUAAAAUGGCAUACCCUACAUCAAUGAAGAUGAAUGAAUUACUUCUGCAUAAAACAAUAUACAUGCAUCUAACCAAUAUGACACUGAGUGAAAAAAGACAUCCAUAGAAGAGCACAGCUCACCAUUCAGGAGCAUCACCCUGGUCCAAGCCACCUUCAGCUCUCACCUAGACUAACACAGUUCUUCCUGUCUCCAUGAGCCUCCUCUCCAGUUGCUGUAUUGCAAAUAACAAUCAAAACAGCAUUUAAAAGCAAAACAACAACAGCAAACAAAUGGUAAGCAAACAAUCAACCUAAUCAUUCCCUCUCUUAUUUCCAAGUGGC